rnacentral:rRNA from 1 species
UCAGGAUGAACGCUGGCGGCGUGCCUAACACAUGCAAGUCGAACGGAAACUAAGCGCUCGAGACUUCGGUCAAUGUUGCUUGGUUUAGUGGCGGACGGGUGAGUAACGCGUGGAUAACCUGCCUCAUACAGGGGGAUAACAGUUAGAAAUGACUGCUAAUACCGCAUAAGCGCACAGUUUCGCAUGGAACAGUGUGAAAAAACUCCGGUGGUAUGAGAUGGAUCCGCGUCUGAUUAGCUAGUUGGCGGGGUAACGAGCCCACCAAGGCGACGAUCAGUAGCCGGCCUGAGAGGGUGAACGGCCACAUUGGGACUGGGACACGGCCCAAACUCCUACGGGAGGCAGCAGUGGGGGAUAUUGCACAAUGGGGGAAACCCUGAUGCAAGCGACGCCGCGUGAGUGAAGAAGUAUUUCGGUAUGUAAAGCUCUAUCAGCAGGGAAGAUAAUGACGGUACCUGACUAAGAAGCACCGGCUAAAUACGUGCCAGCCGCCGC